UGAAGAUUAAGACGAAACCAAACGGCAAUGGCUAUCAGCAACACUGAGUAUUUCGAUCAAAUUGGGAAUAUUCAGAAGAGUACAUCAACGUUGGAGGACAAGAAUCAUAUUACAUACUGAAGAAAGACAGAAAGAAAACGGAGAGCAGGGGGUAAUCAGAAGCAGACGAGUGCCAGCAUUACAGGUGGAGAUGGCAGAGAUGCCAAUCCAAUUAAGAAGGAAACAACUGAUAUUGAUAAACUGGGCAAACUUAAAAGUGAGGGAUUUGGGGCUUAAAUUGAGGAGCUGAACAUGCAGCGUCAUCGGAAGCGUGAGUCCUGAAAGGUCUGGGGAGAGAAGGAAAAGAGACUCUGAUCCGUAACCCACAGUAGAUGGCGGUAAUGCUCUAUUUUAGAAUGUUAGCAGCCAAUAAAGAAGAAGAAGAAGAAGGGGAGAUGUCCUGCACUGAAAGAAUAGAGAUUUGAAACUGGGAUGUGGUGAAAUUGAGGUGUGCCAAUCUGUGUAAGGAGAAAGAAAUGUGAUUUUGUCUACUGUGAUGUGAAUUAGGAAUGCCAUCGGAGAAGAGAGGAAGAAACACCAAAGGGACAAAUUUGACAGUGCUUAUCACCAGAGAGUGAGGCCUGGAUUUUACAUAGCCGUUGAUUGCACAACUUUAGUGAAAGUGGAGUGACAAGAGUUCAUAGGAUCCUCAAUUGCCAAAGAGCUCAGGUACAUGCAAACUCUCCAGGACCUAGCGUGCACCAUUUCAAAACCCUCAUACGGCCUGAACUCUCUCUCACACAUUUACAUACACCCACAUUUUAGUAAUUUUUGUUGUGUGUUUCGUUCUGUUGUAAUUUAUGUGCUAAUGAUUAUAUGCUGUUCUUUUUGUGAGUCUUAGACUCC